UACGUAGGGGGCUAGCGUUGUCCGGAUUUAUUGGGCGUAAAGAGCGUGUAGGCUGCCAGGUAGGUCUGGUGUGAAAACUCGAGGCUUAACCUCGAGAUGUCAUCGGAAACCAUCUGGCUAGAGUCCGGAAGAGGAGAGUGGAAUUCCUGGUGUAGCGGUGAAAUGCGCAGAUAUCAGGAAGAACACCAAUGGCGAAAGCAGCUCUCUGGGACGGUACUGACGCUGAGACGCGAAAGCGUGGGGAGCGAACAGG
rnacentral:rRNA from 1 species